rnacentral:tRNA from 1 species
CGGCGAAUGCCGGGAAGGACUACACUCAGGAUGCAGGUGUCGCGGGUUCGAAUCCCGCCUGCCGG